rnacentral:rRNA from 1 species
UACGUAGGGGGCAAGCGUUGUCCGGAUUUAUUGGGCGUAAAGAGCGUGUAGGCGGCUUUGCAAGUCCGUUGUGAAAACUCGAGGCUCAACCUCGAGACGCCGGUGGAAACUGCAAAGCUAGAGUCCGGAAGAGGAGAGUGGAAUUCCUGGUGUAGCGGUGAAAUGCGCAGAUAUCAGGAGGAACACCAACGGCGAAGGCAGCUCGCUGGGACGGUACUGACGCUGAGGCGCGAAAGCGUGGGGAGCGAACAGG